UACAAAGAGCCGGCUCUCAGAGCCAAUGCUUGUGCGCAUGACCCAUCACUAACGGACACACCCCUCUAAGAUGUCACGGCAUAUUAUUUGAGGAUAAAAGGCAUAUUCUUCAUCAGUAGAUUAACACAUUCUCCCUCUUUCUGCAGCCAAGCAAGAACAGACAAACAAUACUCCUUGUCAGUAACCUGCUUUCUAUUUCAACAUACAUUUGUUAUUUUCAAUGCUGUUCUGUGUUUUAGUUCUGUGAACUGUGUUUAGUUUCACAACAGGAUGAGAGAUCUUGGAGAACAUUUGAAGAUUUUCAGUUGAUAUUGGAAACUAGAAGAAAAUGAGAAACUUGGUGUGCAAUGUUCUCCUAGAAACCAGCUUGAACUGAGUUGUGCAAUUAAUCAUUCCACCCAAACGGCGCAGGAAGGAGUCAUUCAGCACUCUCACACAGUGAGCUCACUCCCCAGAUGGCUCCUCACAAAAUGUGUGUGUGCUUACAUCCAAGCCUGUGUACAUAUUGUGCGUGACGCAAGGACAUAAAGACAGAUAGAA
rnacentral:lncRNA from 1 species